UUCGUAAGUCGCAAGUACAUUCCGAAGCGCACAUUUUGCAAAUUAAAAGAAGAUAAAAUCUUGUGCACAGACCAAAUAUAAAAAAGAAAAUGUGGUAUGAUUGCCAAUGAGAACUCUCCACAAGAGACCAAAAUGGCACAGACAUUAAAACAACUAUAGGUCACCGUACGGCCUUCAACAAUGAACAAAGCCCAUACCGCAUAGUCAGCUAUAGUAGGUCCCGAAAUGACAAUGUAAAACAAUUAAAACCAGAAAACUAACGGCUUUAUUUAUGUACAAAACAAAAAAUGGACAAAAAACAAAUAUGUUACACAUAAAAAA
rnacentral:lncRNA from 1 species